rnacentral:misc_RNA from 1 species
AACGCACGAGACCUGCGGACCUGCGGAGGGAUCAUUAUCGUGGAGCUCCGGCUCCUUCGAGGGAGAACCCUUGCCUUUUCGAGCACCUGUUUGUUUCCUCGGCAGGCCCGCCUGCCAAUGGGGACCCCUUUAAACUCUUGCAAUAACCUGUACACAAUCGUCUGAACAAAACAAACAAAUCAAAACUUUUAACAAUGGAUCUCU